rnacentral:rRNA from 1 species
GAUGAACGCUGGCGGCGUGCCUAAUACAUGCAAGUCGAGCGAACGGACGAGAAGCUUGCUUUUCUGAUGUUAGCGGCGGACGGGUGAGUAACACGUGGAUAACCUACCUAUAAGACUGGGAUAACUUCGGGAAACCGGAGCUAAUACCGGAUAAUAUUUUGAACCGCAUGGUUCAAAAGUGAAAGACGGUCUUGCUGUCACUUAUAGAUGGAUCCGCGCUGCAUUAGCUAGUUGGUAAGGUAACGGCUUACCAAGGCAACGAUGCAUAGCCGACCUGAGAGGGUGAUCGGCCACACUGGAACUGAGACACGGUCCAGACUCCGACGGGAGGCAGCAGUAGGGAAUCUUCCGCAAUGGGCGAAAGCCUGAUGGAGCAACGCCGCGUGAGUGAUGAAGAUCUUCGGGUCGUAAACCGCUGUUAUUAGGGAAGAACAUAUGUAUAAGUAACUGUUCAUAGCGUGACGUUACCUAAUCAGAAAGCCACGGCUAACUACGUG